rnacentral:rRNA from 1 species
GUGCCAGCCGCCGCGGUAAUACGUAGGGUCCAAGCGUUAAUCGGAAUUACUGGGCGUAAAGCGUCCGCAGGUGGUUUGUUAAGCACGAUGUGAAAUCCCCGAGCUCAACUUGGGAAUUGCAUUGUGAACUGGCUAACUAGAGUAUGGCAGAGGGGGGUGGAAUUCCGCGUGUAGCAGUGAAAUGCGUAGAGAUGCGGAGGAACACCGAUGGCGAAGGCAACCCCCUGGGCUAAUACUGACACUCAUGGACGAAAGCGUGGGGAGCAAACAGGAUUAGAUACCCGGGUAGUCC